UCGAAAUUGGUAGACGCUGCGGACUUAAAAUCCGUUGGCUUUUUAGACCGUGAGGGUUCAAGUCCCUCUACCCCCA
rnacentral:tRNA from 33 species